rnacentral:misc_RNA from 1 species
CGCACAUUGCGCCCUUUGGUAUUCCUUAGGGCAUGCCUGUUCGAGCGUCAUUGAAACCCUCAAGCUCUGCUUGGUGUUGGGCGUCUGUCCCCGCCUCUGGCGCGGACUCGCCUCGAAGACAUUGGCGGUCGGUGCAUCGGCCAGGGAGCGCAGCACAAACGCGCUGCCCCGCCCUCGUGCCUUCCCCCCAGGAAGCCAAACCCACGUCUUGACCUCGGAUCAGGUAGGGAUACCCGCUGAACUUAA